UCCGUUAAUGACGUCAAUCAGCUACGUGUCUUCAUGCGUCAAGUUUGAAUAAUAUGAAAGCGGGAAGAAGAUCCUGAAAGCUGCAGCUGAGGGAAGUUUUUCCGUGAAUAACGACUCAAAUUUCGGCCCCGGUCACGCUGUUCUAUGGAGGAAAAAAUAUCUUAUUUGGUGUUCUCCAGAAAAUUAUACUCGUCUUGAACGACACGAAGGCGCUCCGAGGAAUGAUGGGUAUUUCUUACCAAAUAUCAAGAGCUGCAUCCUCCACAGGGUCACGCCAAAAGAAAUUGGCCUCGGAGGACAUUCACUGCAAGGCUUUCACUGAGCCAACCAGUCUUCCAAAAUCAAAGACAAUAAAAAGGCCUUUGUUUACGCUAUGGCCCUGUCUGGACGGAAAAGGGAUUCCAAGACAGCAAUCUCACAGCGGCGCAGACAGUGCACUAGACACUGACCUUGAACUAACAACUAUUUUAGCCAUUUUCCAGAGAUUUUGGAGAUUUCUACUUUGGCCAUCCUUGCGGUAAGAAAAUAUUAUCUUUUAACUGCGACUUUUAAGCGAUAUUAUCUGAGACAGUCAGGUUAUUUGAGGCGAAUACUUUUUUUUUUUUGACUAAAUGAAGUUGUUGAAAUGUCAUUCAUUCCCAGUGAGAACUAUCUGAACAACAUGUUAUACUCUGUGUUCUGUUUUUGGGGAAAACAAUGAAAUAUUCCUACUAAAACUGAUCAGAAGUAACUCACAAAAUGACACAACUGAAUAGUGUAAUAAUUAGCAUGAGUGUUUUCUCAAAGCAGUAACUAAAUGUCACAUAUACUCAUAUUUGGUGAUUACAAUUAUAU